UACGUAGGGUGCGAGCGUUAAUCGGAAUUACUGGGCGUAAAGCGUGCGCAGGCGGUGAUGUAAGACCGAUGUGAAAUCCCCGGGCUUAACCUGGGAACUGCAUUGGUGACUGCAUUGCUGGAGUAUGGCAGAGGGGGGGUGGAAUUCCACGUGUAGCAGUGAAAUGCGUAGAGAUGUGGAGGAACACCGAUGGCGAAGGCAGCCCCCUGGGCCAAUACUGACGCUCAUGCACGAAAGCGUGGGGGAGCAAACAGG
rnacentral:rRNA from 1 species